AAAAAAGGUAAGCUACUAAGAGCGAAUGGUGGAUGCCUUGACUGGUAAAGGCGAUGAAGGACGUACUAGACUGCGAUAAGCUACGGGGAGCUGUCAAGAAGCUUUGAUCCGUAGAUUUCCGAAUGGGGCAACCCAAUGUAUAGAGAUAUACAUUACCUAUAUAGGAGCGAACGAGGGGAAUUGAAACAUCUUAGUACCCUCAGGAAAAGAAAUCAAUAGAGAUUGCGUCAGUAGCGGCGAGCGAAAGCGUAAGAGGGCAAACCCAGUGCUUGCACUGGGGGUUGUAGGACUGCAAUGUGCAAGAGGUGAGUUUAGCAGAACAUUCUGGAAAGUAUAGCCAUAGAGGGUGAUAGUCCCGUAUGCGAAAAACAAACCUUAGCUAGCAGUAUCCUGAGUAGGGCGGGACACGAGAAAUCCUGUCUGAAGCUGGGUCGACCACGAUCCAACCCUAAAUACUAAUACCAGAUCGAUAGUGCACAAGUACCGUGAGGGAAAGGUGAAAAGAACUGAGGUGAUCAGAGUGAAAUAGAACCUGAAACCAUUUGCUUACAAUCAUUCAGAGCACUAUGUAGCAAUACAGUGUGAUGGACUGCCUUUUGCAUAAUGAGCCUGCGAGUUGUGGUGUCUGGCAAGGUUAAGCAAACGCGAAGCCGUAGCGAAAGCGAGUCUGAAUAGGGCGCUUAGUCAGAUGCUGCAGACCCGAAACGAAGUGAUCUAUCCAUGAGCAAGUUGAAGCUAGUGUAAGAACUAGUGGAGGACUGAACCCAUAGGCGUUGAAAAGCCCCGGGAUGACUUGUGGAUAGGGGUGAAAGGCCAAUCAAACUUCGUGAUAGCUGGUUCUCUCCGAAAUAUAUUUAGGUAUAGCGUUGUGUCGUAAUAUAAGGGGGUAGAGCACUGAAUGGGCUAGGGCAUACACCAAUGUACCAAACCCUAUCAAACUCCGAAUACCUUAUAUGUAAUCACAGCAGUCAGGCGGCGAGUGAUAAAAUCCGUCGUCAAGAGGGAAACAACCCAGACUACCAGCUAAGGUCCCUAAAUCUUACUUAAGUGGAAAACGAUGUGAAGUUACUUAAACAACCAGGAGGUUGGCUUAGAAGCAGCCAUCCUUUAAAGAAAGCGUAAUAGCUCACUGGUCUAGUGAUUUUGCGCGGAAAAUAUAACGGGGCUAAAGUAAGUACCGAAGCUGUAGACUUGAUUUUAUCAAGUGGUAGGAGAGCGUUCUAUUUGCGUCGAAGGUAUACCGGUAAGGAGUGCUGGAGCGAAUAGAAGUGAGCAUGCAGGCAUGAGUAGCGAUAAUUAAUGUGAGAAUCAUUAACGCCGUAAACCCAAGGUUUCCUACGCGAUGCUCGUCAUCGUAGGGUUAGUCGGGUCCUAAGUCGAGUCCGAAAGGGGUAGACGAUGGCAAAUUGGUUAAUAUUCCAAUACCAACAUUAGUGUGCGAUGGAAGGACGCUUAGGGCUAAGGGGGCUAGCGGAUGGAAGUGCUAGUCUAAGGUCGUAGGAGGUUAUACAGGCAAAUCCGUAUAACAUACUCCGAGAACUGAAAGGCUUUUUGAAGUCUUCGGAUGGAUAGAAGAACCCCUGAUGCCGUCGAGCCAAGAAAAGUUUCUAAGUUUAGCUAAUGUUGCCCGUACCGUAAACCGACACAGGUGGGUGGGAUGAGUAUUCUAAGGCGCGUGGAAGAACUCUCUUUAAGGAACUCUGCAAAAUAGCACCGUAUCUUCGGUAUAAGGUGUGGUUCGCUUCGUAUUAGGAUUUACUCCGAAAGCGAAGAAACUUACAACAAAGAGUCCCUCCCGACUGUUUACCAAAAACACAGCACUCUGCUAACUCGUAAGAGGAUGUAUAGGGUGUGACGCCUGCCCGGUGCUCGAAGGUUAAUUGAUGGGGUUAGCAUUAGCGAAGCUCUUGAUCGAAGCCCGAGUAAACGGCGGCCGUAACUAUAACGGUCCUAAGGUAGCGAAAUUCCUUGUCGGUUAAAUACCGACCUGCAUGAAUGGCGUAACGAGAUGGGAGCUGUCUCAAAGAGGGAUCCAGUGAAAUUGUAGUGGAGGUGAAAAUUCCUCCUACCCGCGGCAAGACGGAAAGACCCCGUGGACCUUUACUACAGCUUGACACUGCUAUUUGGAUAAGAAUGUGCAGGAUAGGUGGGAGGCUUUGAGUAUAUGACGCCAGUUGUAUAUGAGCCAUUGUUGAGAUACCACUCUUUCUUAUUUGGGUAGCUAACCAGCUUGAGUUAUCCUCAAGUGGGACAAUGUCUGGUGGGUAGUUUGACUGGGGCGGUCGCCUCCCAAAUAAUAACGGAGGCUUACAAAGGUUGGCUCAGAACGGUUGGAAAUCGUUCGUAGAGUAUAAAGGUAUAAGCCAGCUUAACUGCAAGACAUACAAGUCAAGCAGAGACGAAAGUCGGUCUUAGUGAUCCGGUGGUUCUGUGUGGAAGGGCCAUCGCUCAAAGGAUAAAAGGUACCCCGGGGAUAACAGGCUGAUCUCCCCCAAGAGCUCACAUCGACGGGGAGGUUUGGCACCUCGAUGUCGGCUCAUCGCAUCCUGGGGCUGGAGCAGGUCCCAAGGGUAUGGCUGUUCGCCAUUUAAAGCGGUACGCGAGCUGGGUUCAGAACGUCGUGAGACAGUUCGGUCCCUAUCUGCCGUGGGCGUAAGAAGAUUGAAGAGAUUUGACCCUAGUACGAGAGGACCGGGUUGAACAAACCACUGGUGUAGCUGUUGUUCUGCCAAGAGCAUCGCAGCGUAGCUAAGUUUGGAAAGGAUAAACGCUGAAAGCAUCUAAGCGUGAAGCCAACUCUAAGAUGAAUCUUCUCUAAGCUCUCUAGAAGACUACUAGUUUGAUAGGCUGGGUGUGUAAUGGAUGAAAGUCCUUUAGCUGACCAGUACUAAUAGAGCGUUUGGCUUAUCUUUAAUAAAGCAU
rnacentral:rRNA from 1 species